rnacentral:lncRNA from 1 species
GUAUCCCCCCUUUCCCUGUACGACUGACUAGGUAUCCCCCUUUCCCACUGACUAGGUAUCCCCCCCUUUCCCUGUACGACUGACUAGGUAUCCCCCUUUCCCUGUACAACUGACUAGGUAUCCCCCCCUUUCCCUGUACAACUGACUAGGUAUCCCCCUUUCCCUAUACAACUGACUUGGUAUCCCCCCUUUCCCUGUACAACUGACUAGGUAUCCCCCCUUUCCCUGUACAACUGACUAGGUAUCCCCCUUUCCCACUGACUAGGUAUCCCCCCUUUCCCUGUACAACUGACUAGGUAUCCCCCCUUUCCCUGUACAACUGACUAGGUACCUCCCCCCCUUUCCCUGUACAACUGACUAGGUAUCUCCCCCGCUUUCCCUGUACAACUGACUAGGUAUGUCCCCCCCUUUCCCUGUACAACUGACUAGGUAUCUCCCCCCCUUU